CUUGCCUGGGGCCCUCUGUAGGGAGUUUAGGGAGCCAGGGCUGCCAUCCGUGAUUUGAGGGGCCUCCCUGAUGUCGAGGAAUAAAGAAGAGACUCUGUGGCUUGGCUGGGGGAGCAGAAGUAAGAGCCUGCAGGAGGCAGCCCCUCCCUCCCAGCCUCGGAGGAGCUGAGGAGAAAACAGAAGCUUAAUUGAAUCCCACACUGGAGGAAGGGUGCAGGUGCCGCGAGGAAGAGGCCCCCGGCACCCCGAGGCUGAGAGCGCGCCCGGCCCCGGUGGGUCUGAAGGUCCCUGCUGUCCCAGGACCCCUUCUGCAAAGCCCUCCUUGAGCAAUGCCCUGAGGGAGCAGCCUCUGUUUCGACCUUUCCCAGCUGGUGAAAU